GUCGGUAUCGAUUAGGGGUUAAAUCACUUCGUUGUGGCUGUGCUUAUGCAUUACGUAAUUACCGAAGAGCCGCAGGUUCGAUUCCUGCUACCGACA
rfam:Hypholoma sublateritium FD-334 SS-4 unplaced genomic scaffold scaffold_74, whole genome shotgun sequence.